rnacentral:rRNA from 1 species
AUUGAACGCUGGCGGCAUGCCUUACACAUGCAAGUCGAACGGUAACGGGCCUUCGGGUGCCGACGAGUGGCGAACGGGUGAGUAAUGUAUCGGAACGUACCUUUCAGUGGGGGAUAACGUAGCGAAAGUUACGCUAAUACCGCAUAUUCUGUGAGCAGGAAAGCAGGGGAUCGCAAGACCUUGCGCUGAUUGAGCGGCCGAUAGCAGAUUAGCUAGUUGGUGAGGUAAAGGCGCACCAAGGCGACGAUCUGUAGCGGGUCUGAAAGGAUGAUCCGCCACACUGGAACUGAGACACGGUCCAGAGUCCUACGGGAGGCAGCGGUGGGGAAUUUUGGACAAUGGGGGCAACCCUGAUCCAGCCAUGCCGCGUGAGUGAAGAAGGCCUUCGGGUUGUAAAGCUCUUUCGGCCGGGAAGAAAUCGUAUCAGCUAAUACCUGGUGCGGAUGACGGUACCGGCAUAAGAAGCACCGGCUAACUACGUGCCAGCCGCCACUGUAAAAC